GACGUUGUGGCUGUGUUAACUUGUGACAACCCAACAGAUGGGCGUCUUAAAAAGGGUAGCCAUUUUGCAAAUGACAGUAUGAUGCAUGUCCAAAUCAGAACAUGUUUUUCGUCGGUCUGUCACUCCUGUGAAACAUACCACACCCAAUAGGAACAGCGUUAACUUCACUUAGGAGAAAAGCAUUAGAUUCUCACUGCAAUGCAGUGACUGUAAAAUGAUGGACAGGCACAUUGUGGGUGGGGGGGAAGAAGGCUUCCUGAUGUCCAUUUCUUUAAAUGUAGUUGUAAUGCUUGCUAAUCAGCUUUGGGUGUUUAAAGACACGCCUUUACUAGUGGCCAUCUUCCCAAUGCAGCCUGUGGGCAGUGGUAGAGGAGGGGACAGUGUGUGUGUCACCAUGAGGCCGGUUGCUGUCCGGUCCCAGGGCGCUGACAGCUGGCCCAGUGAUUAGACUAUAGACUGAUAAUGGAGUGGAUCAAAGCCUCUUUAGCAAGAGCACUUCAGGGAGAUGACAACGCCCCCGUGCCUGGGGGGGGGAUUGUCACCAGCAGGGGCAUGGCCCACUGUAGGACAGGGGACUGAUGUGAAGAGACAGGAAACCAGCCCUGAAGGCAGAGAGGGAGGGCUUGAGGGGUGGGAGUUAGGUUGAGGGAUGGGAGUUAGGUUGAGGGAUGGGAGUUAGGUUGAGGGAUGGGAGUUAGGUUGAGGGAUGGGAGUUAGGUUGAGGGAUGGGAGUUAGGUUGAGGGAUGGGAGUUAGGUUGAGGGAUGGGAGUUAGGUUGAGGGAUGGGAGUUAGGUUGAGGGAUGGGAGUUAGGUUGAGGGAUGGGAGUUAGGUUGAGGGAUGGGAGUUAGGUUGAGGGAUGGGAGUUAGGUUGAGGGAUGGGAGUUAGGUUGAGGGAUGGGAGUUAGGUUGAGGGAUGGGAUGGGA